CUGAGCUGGUGAUGAUGCUAAGUUAUCCCUGUCUGAAAAAGAAACCUUCCUUUGUGGAAUUCUGAUUCUGAGGCUCAG
ensembl:snoRNA